CUACGUAGGUGACAAGCGUUAUCCGGAUUUACUGGGCGUAAAGGGCGUGUAGGCGGUCUUGCAAGUCAGAAGUGAAAUUCCUGAGCUCAACUCGGGCGCUGCUUCUGAAACUGCAGGACUUGAGUGCUGGAGGGGAUAGCGGAAUUCCUAGUGGAGCGGUAAAAUGCGCAGAUAUUAGGAAGAACACCGGUGGCGAAGGCGACCAUCUGUACAGUAACUGACGCUGAGGCGCGAAAGCGUGGGGAGCAAACAGGAUUAGAUGCCCUGGUCGUCCACGCCGUAAACGAUGAAUACUAGGUGUAGGGGGUAUCGACUCCCUCUGUGCCGCAGUUAACACAAUAAGUAUUCCGCCUGGGGAGUACGGCCGCAAGGUUGAAACUCAAAUGAAUUGACGGGG
rnacentral:rRNA from 1 species